CACUCUAGGACCUGGCUGCUCCCAUCUGCUCUGGCUGGCCAAUCCUAGGAGUCUCUCUCUAAGCUCCUCCCCCUUUCUAACCACACUCAAGAUGGCUGCCUGGCAUUCCUCAACAAAAUGGAUGCCUGCCCCACUCACUGUUACCAAGGCUUCAUUCCAGGCCUAAUAGGAAACGUAAGCAGCAGAUGCCUCCAGAAUCUCAUGUAUGAACAGCAAAUCAGAGAGAGAGACAGAGACAACAGACAAGAGAAGAGAAGGAGAAGGUGUUGAAGAGGAACUCCCAUUAUCUUUACCUUUCCCACAAUUUAUCUACAAACAGAAGCAGCAGUGCUUGUGUGUUUUAAUUGUUUUCUUAACGCGCCUCGAGCCAUGAGGAGAAUCAGGUAAGAAA